rnacentral:rRNA from 1 species
ACGAACGCUGGCGGCGUGCUUAACACCUGCAAGUCGAACGGAAAGGCCCUGCUUUUGUGGGGUGCUCGAGUGGCGAACGGGUGAGUAACACGUGAGUAACCUGCCCUUGACUUUGGGAUAACUUCAGGAAACUGGGGCUAAUAUCGGAUAGGAGCUCCUGCUGCAUGGUGGGGGUUGGAAAGUUUCGGCGGUUGGGGAUGGACUCGCGGCUUAUCAGCUUGUUGGUGGGGUAGUGGCUUACCAAGGCUUUGACGGGUAGCCGGCCUGAGAGGGUGACCGGCCACAUUGGGACUGAGAUACGGCCCAGACUCCUACGGGAGGCAGCAGUGGGGAAUAUUGCACAAUGGGCGGAAGCCUGAUGCAGCAACGCCGCGUGCGGGAUGACGGCCUUCGGGUUGUAAACCGCUUUCGCCUGUGACGAAGCGUGAGUGACGGUAAUGGGUAAAGAAGCACCGGCUAACUACGUG